rnacentral:RNase_P_RNA from 1 species
AUUGUCCUCGAGGAAAGUCCGAGCUCCAUAGGGCAGGAUGCUGGGUAACUCCCAGUGAGGGUGACCUCAAGGAAAGUGCCACAGAAAUUAAACCGCCAAGCAGAGCGGGAUAUCCCGCUCUGCUUGGUAAGGAUGAAACGGUGCGGUAAGAGCGCACCAGCGGUCAGGCGACUGGCCGGCUAGGCAAACCCCAUCCGGAGCAAGACCAAAUAGAGGAGAGUUGACGUUGCUCGCCGAUCUCCCGGGUUAGGUCGCUAGAGGUGUCAGGUAACUGCCAUCCCAGAGAGAUGAUUAUCGCCCCGCAAGGGGAACAGAACUCGGCUUACAGGUCUGCUUUGUAU